rnacentral:rRNA from 1 species
CUCAGAUUGAACGCUGGCGGCAGGCCUAACACAUGCAAGUCGAGCGGCAGCGGGAAAGUAGCUUGCUACUUUUGCCGGCGAGCGGCGGACGGGUGAGUAAUGCCUGGGGAUCUGCCCAGUCGAGGGGGAUAACAGUUGGAAACGACUGCUAAUACCGCAUACGCCCUACGGGGGAAAGCAGGGGACCUUCGGGCCUUGCGCGAUUGGAUGAACCCAGGUGGGAUUAGCUAGUUGGUGAGGUAAUGGCUCACCAAGGCGACGAUCCCUAGCUGGUCUGAGAGGAUGAUCAGCCACACUGGAACUGAGACACGGUCCAGACUCCUACGGGAGGCAGCAGUGGGGAAUAUUGCACAAUGGGGGAAACCCUGAUGCAGCCAUGCCGCGUGUGUGAAGAAAGCCUUCGGGUUGUAAAGCACUUUCAGCGAGGAGGAAAGGUUGGUAGCUAAUAACUGCCAGCUGUGACGUUACUC